CGCGUAGGUGGUAGUGCAAGUCUGAGGUGGAAUCCCAGGGCUUAACCCUGGAACUGCCUUGGAAACUGCAUUACUUGAGUCAGUGAGGGGAGGGUAGAAUUCCUGGUGUAGCGGUGAAAUGCGUAGAUAUCAGGAGGAAGGCCGGUGGCGAAGGCGGCCCUCUGGCGCUGAACUGACACUGAGGCGCGAAAGCGUGGGUAGCAAACAGGAUUAGAUACCCUGGUAGUCCACGCCCUAAACGGUGGGCACUAGGUGUAGGGCUCGUAAGGGUUCUGUGCCGAAGCGAAAGCAUUAAGUGCCCCGCCGUGGGGAGUACGGCCGCAAGGUUGAA
rnacentral:rRNA from 1 species